AGUUCAAUAGUUAAUAAAUAAUAUUAAAUUGCAAGUUUAAAGUAAAUUGAUAUUUUGAACUU
rnacentral:tRNA from 1 species